UAAUAAGUGUUUUAUGGCACUUUUUAAAUCCAUAUCCACCUUGUGUGCAAUGUCAGUCGAUCUUCUUCAUGGAGAUCGACCAAACAUCAACCUUUAUCUUUUAACAUCUUUGUCUGAAAAAUAUUAUGGAUAAACAAUUCAAAAUA
rnacentral:misc_RNA from 1 species